ensembl:lncRNA
AUUCUUCAUCAAAAAGUCUACCUGAUUAAUGGUCACCUCGUCCCUGUUUCCAGAUUUUUCCGACAAGAACACCACAUCCUUGUGGGGGGUCGCCUGCAACCCGGCAGAAAACGAUUUAGAACAUGUUCAAACAAGGAAAACAUGAGUUGAGGAUGCAUUUAUCUGUGACACCAAAGCACUCACCUCUGGGGGUGGCUGAGGGGCCUCCUCCUCCAAUUUGAUCUUCUUUCUCCUCUUCUUCUUCUUCUCCUCCUUGUCCACACUGACUUCUACCUCCUCCUUCUUUGCCUUCGUUUUGAUUUCUUCUGGAGCUCCCUUUAUACCCCCUUUUACUUUGCCCUUCGAGUCAGAGGCCACAAAGACAAACGUCUCCGUAUUCUGUGCCAUAUCCUUGACGGCUGUCUGUUUGUCUUCCUUAGCAUUUUUCUUUUUUUUACUCUUCUGCUGCUUAUCGUCGACGAUGCUCACCUCCUGGGCUACCUCGACCUUCAGGGAAACCUCUCUUUUCCCCCUGUUUAUUUCCUUUUUCUUCUUUGGCUUUGGACCAUCUUCCUCCACGACCACAACACUACUGGACCCUUUCUUCCCUUUGAUAGGCUUGGUUUCCUCCUGCUUUCCUUUCUUCUUCUGGACAGUUUCGAGCGUGUCCUUGCCCAUUUCUAAAUGCGCUCUACUCUUCUUGGCCUUCUGAUUGACCCCCUGGGAUUCUUCCUCACUGGCUAUCGUCUUGGUCACAGAUGUUUUAGAUCCCGUCGUCUUCUUCUUUGUCGUCUUCUUCAUCACAACGACCUCCUCCUCCUCACUUUCGUCUAUAUUUAUCACCUCACUUGGAUUCUGGGCCUUGACCUUUUUAGACUUGAUCUUUUUCGUAGCCAACACUUCUUCUUCCUCUGCUUUGGACUGAACCGAUUUGUGGUUGGUUUUCUUGAGCUUCUUCUGUUUCUUUCCAGAAGGUUCUUCCUGGUCUUCAAGCUCCCUUUUCUUCUUCAUCGUCUUCUUCUUCUCUGUGUUUAGAGAACCUUCCUUGGUUACCUCAUCCUUCUUUUUCUUAGCCGUCUUGAAGCUCUUAUCGUCCUCACAGCCGGCUGCAUCUUUGUUUUUCCGACCUUUCUGUUUCUUCUCCUUCGCCAGCGUCUCUUUUUCACGUCGUUCAUCCGCUUCUGCCAUGUCGCCUUUCACCAUGUCUAGGGUUACCAUCCCCUGUGCUAACUUUUCAAAACAUUAACAUAAAAAUAUGAAUAGGGAUAAACAAACCAAACCAAGUAUUGCAUAAUGUCAUCAGGCCUAGCAUUACGUUGUGGCGGGUCAAAGCGGCAGUAGACUAGACACUAACCAAAAGUCUUUUCGGUUCUCUGGGCUGUGAUUCCUGGUCAAUGUCUCUCUGGAGGGCCAGUCGAUUAUCCUGUAAAAAGAAUGAAAAGCACCGGUUUGGAGCGCAUUGCUGACAGGGUCAUAUUGAUUCCGAUCUUUAAGGUUAAGCUUAAAAUACUUCUUUGAGUUAGAUCUUUAAUUUUGUGUUUGUUUUGUGAGGGUGUUCUGCUUAACCUUAAAUGUUUACAAACUAAGCGGAUAGCGCUUAAAAACACGUUUGUUAUACAGUACAGUAGAUGACAAUAUCUUUACACUUGUGCUUUGCCGUUCACAUUUCUCAAUAUCUAAGCAUUUAAUCAAGACUAAUUUUCUCGACCUUGCAUGUUAUGUAGGCCUACCUUGUUGAUGAUAAUCUCAUUGGCCCUACGUGCAGGUUUUUCUAAAACGAAGAUCACUUCCUCGGCCGAAUCCGUCUGAUAUUAAAUAAACGUAAUCCAGACACAAUGUAUACAUUCACAACAAAAUGUAAGGCCAAAUUAUGUUUUCAAUAACAAAUGGUGCACGCAUUAGUGGUGUUGUUAUUGUCAUAGACAUCAACAAUAAGACCAGUGACGCCCAGGGAGAAAGUCUGGUAGCCUAAAUACAUUUCUCAUCCAAGUCUUAUCACGUAUGCCUAUUAGUAAGAACAAUACGAGACUAACAUGAAGCCUAAUAUUUCAAAUGAUAUCCCUUGUGUCCCGACCGGCAUGUUGGCUAUAGCUAACGCAUGCUAAAUUUUAUUGCAAGAAGCCAACGUUAAAUCUUCUUUAACACAUCAAUAAGAAAGGUAGUACUGUGCGAGUUAUCUUCCUUACUAUUUAUGCAAACUUUUCCAUUAUUAGAAUGGAACUAUAUGAAGAGUGAUUUACUUACUUUGGCGAUUCACGUGGAGUCGCGCUUUA